ACACUCCUGCGGGAGGCAGCAGUGGGGAAUAUUGGACAAUGGGCGCAAGCCUGAUCCAGCCAUGCCGCGUGAGUGAUGAAGGCCCUAGGGUUGUAAAGCUCUUUCACCGGUGAAGAUAAUGACGGUAACCGGAGAAGAAGCCCCGGCUAACUUCGUGCCAGCAGCCGCGGUAAUACGAAGGGGGCUAGCGUUGUUCGGAUUUACUGGGCGUAAAGCGCACGUAGGCGGACUAUUAAGUCAGGGGUGAAAUCCCGGGGCUCAACCCCGGAACUGCCUUUGAUACUGGUAGUCUUGAGUUCGAGAGAGGUGAGUGGAAUUCCGAGUGUAGAGGUGAAAUUCGUAGAUAUUCGGAGGAACACCAGUGGCGAAGGCGGCUCACUGGCUCGAUACUGACGCUGAGGUGCGAAAGCGUAGGGAGCAAACAGGAUUAGAAACCCGGGUAGUCCC
rnacentral:rRNA from 1 species